UUCCGUAGGUGAACCUGCGGAAGGAUCUUUGUCGAAACCU
rnacentral:rRNA from 1 species